GUUGCUAUGUGGGUUGCUAUGUAGGUUGCUAUGUGGGUUGCUAUGUAGGUUGCUAUUGCGGCUUCUAAGACAAGAAAUCAAUGCACGGUAGUGUUUUAUUUGUUCUUUAACUCGACCAAGGACAGAGGAAAUGAAGGGACCUGCCCUGUAAACCAUGUCCAUGAAAUCAGUCAGUCAGUUAGUCCUGUUUUGUAUUCCAUCUUGUUGCAAUUAUCUGCUGAUUUUUCACAUGCCUCACUGUGGGGCAGACAAUGCCUAGAAUGCAUGCCAAACUGGAUAAUCCAGUAUGGCCACUUUACACUUUCAUGUAAAACGUGCUUUGCAUCAAAUCCAUUUUGUGCCUUGGUGAGUUGGGGUGGCCACAUCACCACACCAUAUAGGCUGCAGCUUUAUCUGAGAUUAAAAAAGAAUACGGAAAAAAUAGCAUUAAUAACAUUAAUAAUAAUAAAACGAAAUAAAUCUGCUCCACUGAUGUGAAUGUCGAGUUGCCCAAUUGCUGUUGAGAAAAAGAAAAAAAACUGCAUGCAGAUGAAACUCUUUUUGCAGACCGAUUUGCAUGUCGAGAUGCUAAAUUUGCACGCUCAUUUGCAAGGUUU
rnacentral:lncRNA from 1 species